GCCGGCCCUCUUCCUCCCUCCCUCCCUCUCUGCUGCGCCGCCGCCCCUCUCCCUAGCUUCAGCACGUGCGCGCCGCGGGCCCUCUCCCUCGCUCCAUCUCCUGCACAGCCGGCCCUCUCCUUCGCUCCACAUCUUGCUCCGCCGGACCUCCCCCUCGAUCCAUCUCCUGUGCCGCCGGUUUCCUUUCCUGCUGCCUCUCCUGCGCUGCGCUGCCGGCGUGAUACAAGGGGAAGAAGGCAGCGUUUAGGUGCUACUCCGGCGCGGCGGCAGAGCGAAGCAAACCCUCCUCUCCUCAAGGGACAAGAUGGUGCGACCUAUCGAUUCUGAUAUGGUCUUUAUGUCGCCAAAGGAAGCUAGUCCUCGGCGGGCUAAAAACUCUUUUGAGGGCAUUGUAGAUGCUGCUCGCUCUUUCGAGUUCAUUCCAGUGAAUGACAUUCUUGAUCUGUGGACCAGGGAUGUUGCUCUCAAGACAGUGUGUCUGGAUGAAAUUAACCGCUGGAUGAAAUUAUCACUGAUCCUAUAUUAUGAAGAGUUCUAUUUCUCAUUGAAUUCCGUGUGCAGAUCAAACUGGACACCCCUCAGAAACUCAAUCCAUCUCUGAAGCAGUUUUGGUAAAACAUGUGCUGAACUUGCUUGUUUUACUACUAAGCCGAUUCUCUGUUUCCCCCUACUAUAACGCUUGUUUGAAUGUUUUGCAGCCAUGUUCUCGAAGGAAAUACAUCUGUAUCAGCUUUCUGUGGUCGUGCAGGCCAGGCUUAAGGUUGUGCCAUUUACUCCCUAGAAUUUUCAGUGGAAGGUAAUCCCCAACCUAAAGUUCCCAUUAAUCCCAAGGAUGCAGCGUAUUGAGAGCUUCCUGGGAGGAAGCGUUUCAACUUUAAAGUUUACCCCAGUGUUAAGGUGCCAGUAAUUCCAUCAGAUAUCAUUGCGGAGGAGGUGCCUUACUCACCGUUCCCCAUCCGCUCCUGGAGGCAGGCGAAGAAAGCCUCCAUGAUGACGAAGGGAGGCAGUUACGGCUCCAGAGUCUUUGUGUAUGGCGAUGGAGACAUUCAGUUUUAGAUUCUGUGUCCUUGCGCACUGUAAUGUCAGUGCCCAGGCGUUGUUGGUGGUCAUGUUUUGAACAUGUAGUGGAUGUUUCGUUGUCGUUUUGGUUCUACAGUUAGCGACCUUUAUUCUAUAUAUGACUGAUCAGUUUUGGUGCUAUGGUAACUUGCGUUGAGUUUCAGCUA